rnacentral:rRNA from 1 species
GGAAGGAUCAUUAUCGAAUAAACUUGAACAGGUUGUUGCUGGCCCCUCGGGGUAUCGUGUGCACGCUUGUUUCAUCUUUAUUUUCUCCCCCAACUGUGCACAUUUUGUAGACCUGGAGCUUUGUGGAUUUUUGUUAAUUCGAGUUGGGACUGCUGCACUUCUUUCUGGGAAGUCGGCUUUGCCUUGCAUCUCUCAGGUCUAUGUUAUUCACAAACUUCUCUAUCAUGUUUAGAAUGUUGAAUCAGGUGCUUUACAUGUACCUAUAAAGUGAAAUAUACAACUUUCAGCAACGGAUCUCUUGGCUCUCGCAUCGAUGAAGAACGCAGCGAAAUGCGAUAAGUAAUGUGAAUUGCAGAAUUCAGUGAAUCAUCGAAUCUUUGAACGCAUCUUGCGCUCCUUGGUAUUCCGAGGAGCAUGCCUGUUUGAGUGUCAUUUAAUUUCUCAAACCACAUUUGAAUUCUUUCGGUGUGGAUUGGAUGUGGGGGGUUUUGCGGGCUUCUCAAGAAGAAGUCGGCUCCCCUGAAAUGUAUUAGUGGUAUCUGAGCUACUGCUAUUAGGUUUGAUAAAUUAUCUAUGCCUUUUGGUAUGCUGCAUAAACAGAUUGCACCGCUUCUAAAAAUGCGAGUGGUCGUUGAACCACACAAUUUUGAUGAAUUUGACCUCAAAUCAGGUAGGACUACCCGCUGAACUUAAGCAUAUCAAUAAGCGGAGGAAAAGAAACUAACAAGGAUUCCCCUAGUAACUGCGAGUGAAGCGGGAAAAGCUCAAAUUUGAAAUCUGACGGUUCUUGAACUGUCCGAGUUGUAAUCUAGAGAAGUGUUACCUGUGCUGGACCGUGUACAAGUCUCCUGGAAUGGAGCAUCAUAGAGGGUGAGAAUCCCGUCUUUGACACGGACUGCCUGUACGGUAUGGUGCGCUCUCGAAGAGUCGAGUUGUUUGGGAAUGCAGCUCAAAAUGGGU